rnacentral:lncRNA from 1 species
GGUAAAUGGGGUAAAUGGGGUAAAUGGUGUAAAUGGCGUAAAUGGCAUAAAUAAAUCUUUAUCUUUGGAGCAGAGAAAUUUAAUGAUAAAAAAUUGGGAAAGUAAAAAACAGUCAAGAAGUGAUAAUAACAUAAAAUCAGUUGUUAGUAAUCCAAGUUUUAUAAAAAAUAAAGAAAGUAACAUAUUUUAUAAAAAAUCACAAGCAUCGAAAAAAGAAUUAAAAGUAAUAAAAACUAGUUAUAAUUUAUUAUUAUGUUUAAUGUUAUAUAUAUUAUGUUCAUGUCUUGUUGGUUCUUCUUUAUAUUUGGAUGAUUGGAAAAAUCAUGAAAUAAAAAUAUUGUCUGAUACUCAUAAAAAAUCAGUUAAAGUUGUUAUAGGAGUGGCUAAUGUUGUAAGAACACAAAAAUUAAAAGAUCCUAAUGGAACUAUUACAUAUAUUUUAGAUAAAAUACAUUCAUUAGAAGAAUUAAUGAAUGAUCAAAGUUGUAAAAAAAUAACUAGAGAAAAUUUAGAACAUAAAUUAAUUUAUACAAGUAAAAGUAAACUUAAAAUAGAAGAAAAUAAAAAAUUAAAUGAUCCAUCUUUUAUGUUAAGUAAUGAAGAAUUACUAAAUGCAUUUUCAGAUCCUGGUAGUGUUGGAUUGUUAAGUGAUAAAAAUAUUAUAUUGUUGAGGAAAUACUUUUUAGGUCCAAGUGUAUAUAAUAUAGAAUGUAAAUUUUUAAAUACAAUAAAAGAAGCAGGAAUGAUACAUAAUAUUCUUUUAUAUUCUAGUUUGGUAUUUUUAAUAAUAGCAAUUAUUAUUUUAUCAAAUAAUAUUUGUAAAUAUAAAAUGAAUAAAAGUACAAGAAUAUUAAAUUAUAUUUCAUUUUUUUAGUUAAUUUAACAUUAAUAACAUUAAUUUCUUUUUUGUUUUUUUUAACCAUAUAUAUAAUAUUCCUCUUUGUGUUCAAAUUGACGGUAGUACUGAUAAAUGUCAAGAUGGGAUAUCCGUUUCGUUCAUUCGUGCAAGCAUUUUAU